CGCGUAGGCGGUCCUUCAAGUCCCGCGUGAAAUCCCCCGGCUCAACUGGGGAACUGCGCGGGAAACUGUAGGGCUUGAGUUCGGGAGAGGGAAGCGGAAUUCCGGGUGUAGCGGUGAAAUGCGUAGAUAUCCGGAGGAACACCGGUGGCGAAGGCGGCUUCCUGGACCGACACUGACGCUGAGGCGCGAAAGCUAGGGGAGCAAACGGG
rnacentral:rRNA from 1 species